rnacentral:tRNA from 1 species
GAAAUAUGUAAUGUCAAGAUGAAGCUUCUAACUUCAAUUUUUAGCAGUGAAAAUCUGUUAAUAUUUCU